rnacentral:misc_RNA from 1 species
AAAUGCAAAUGAAAUAUGUUUAAAUAUUCAUACCUUAAAUGUUUUAUAGCAUUGUCUGACUUCAGUGUGCUGAAAACUGUUGUUUCAAGCUGGUAUGACAGCAACCGAUGUCUCCCUAUGCUGAGAGUGUUGUUCAGAGACAAGGUGGACAAUCAAGAGCUAUCAAAAGUAACUGACACGAUGGACUUACUGAAUAUAUUAUUUCAACGUGGUCAUCUAAGUUCACAGAAUUCCGAACUCCUGUGUGAUACUAUUAGCAUAACCAAACAUUUGGGUAUUCUGUCGAAUAUUAAAGAAAAACUGCCAUCAUUCCCAAAUGUUGAGGAAGGAAACAUUUCCAAAACAUUCACACCUCACAGACAAAAGUUAAUGAAAUUUGGAAUGGAACUGACGACAGCCAAUGUGACACAGAUUGAUGGAUUGUAUAAUACGCCUUGUAAGAGGUAUGCAGACAGCUGGGAAAUGAUCAGCGAUCUUGAAGACAGACAGAUAAUCAGCAAAGGAAAUAUGAAAGCAUUCACUGAUUCGUUGACAAUCCUAAAUCCCACUGGAGGAGUGAACAUAACAGAAGCAUUGUCUGACUUCAGUGUGCUGAAAGCUGUUGUUUCAAGCUGGUAUGACAGCAACCGAUGUCUCCCUAUGCUGAGAGUGUUGUUCAGAGACAAGGUGGACAAUCAAGAGCUAUCAAAAGUAACUGACACGAUGGACUUACUAAAUAUAUUAUUUGCACGUGGUCAUCUAGGUUUACAGAAUUCUGGACUCCUGUGUGAUACUAUUAGCAUAACCAAACAUUUGGGUCUUUUUUCGAAGAUCAAAGAAAAACUGCCAUCAUUCCCAAAUGUUGAGGAAGGAAACAUUUCCAAAACAUUCACAUCUCACAGACAAAAGAUAAUGAAAUUUGGAAUGGAACUGACGAUAGCCAGUGUGACACAGAUUGAUGGAUUGUAUAAUACGCCUUGUAAGAGGUAUGCAGACAGCUGGGAAAUGAUCAGCGAUCUUGAAGAGAGACAGAUAAUCAGCAAAGGAAAUAUGAAAGCAUUUACUGAUUCGUUGACAAUCCUAAAUCCCACUGGAGGAGUGAACAUAACAGAAGCAUUGUCUGACUUCAGUGUGCUGAAAGCUGUUGUUUCAAGCUGGUAUGACAGCAACCGAUGUCUCCCUAUGCUGAAAGUGUUGUUCAGAGACAAAGUUGAAAACGUAAAGCUAUCAAAAGUAACUGGCACGAUGGACUUACUGAAUAUAUUAUUUGCACGUGGUUAUCUAAGUUUACAGAAUUCUGGACUUCUGUGUGAUACUAUUAGCAUAACCAAACAUUUGGGUCUUUUGUCCAAGAUUAAAGAAAAACUGCCAUCAUUCCCAGAUGUUGAGGAAGGAACCAUUUCAACAAAAUUCACACCUCACAGACAAAAGCUAAUGAAAUUUGGAAUGGUACUGACCCUAGCCGAUGUGACACAGAUUGAUGGAUUGCGUAAUAUGCCUUGUAAGGAGUAUGCAGACAGCUGGGAAAUGAUUAGCGAUCUAGAAGACAAACACGUUAUCAGCGAAGAAAAAAUGGAGGAAUUCAUUGAUUCGUUGAAAACCCUGAAUAUUCCUCUGGCAGUCAACGCUCUAACAUAAGGUAUGUUAGUCUAAUCUGCAAAAAUACUGUUUAGACAUCUGUGCCCCUUCUCAGCUGAAACGGAGAUGUCCAGAUUGUGUUGAUAUAAGUAUCAAACUGGUACGAUAACAGGAAUUGGAUAACAGGAAUUGGAUAACAGGAAUUGACGAACAUGCUGAAUUAUUGCACAAGGAUAAAGUGAAAAUUGCCGGUGAUCUGCUAAGAUCCACUACCAUGUUUGACAAGCUAUUAAACUGCAAUGGAAGUUUUAAGCUUGGUUUCCAUACAAUUGCUGACAGCUUGUGUUGAUGCUGAUUUGUCGGUCGAAUCGGGGGCCUUCUCAAUUGAGUCGGGGACUGCUACUCUGCACAACGAUUGCACUGAAAACACUGUAGCGACAGUGUAGCGAUUGUAUGGAAACCAGGCAUUUAACCGACCAACUUUAAAAUCCUAGUGGAUACGAUUAUUGUUACUGAUACCCGUGGUGUUGUAGAAGGGGAAGUCAGUGAUCUACUGUGUAACACAUUCCACGAAACCAAUGUGACGUCAAUUUCAGUUCAUCAGCAGAAUCUGAUCAAACUCGGUUGAGUAGACCUAUCGCAAAAUGACGUAAAGAUGCUGGGUGGUCUUUACGAUUUACCACCGAGUCGACAAAGAUCAGUUGACUCUCUGAUACUGAAUCUUGAGAGGAAUUCGUAAAAGGUAAAAUGAAGUCAUUCAUUGACGAUCCAAAGAAAAUUGAACUGAAUCAUGCAGCUAGAAUUAGAAAAUGAAGAAUCUAUGACGACAUCCAUGACGACAUCUAUGAUGACUGAAUUAAUGGAAAAUGCAAUGUACAUCUCAUCCAGGCAAGGAGAUAAUUGAACCGAACUCGAAAACCAUCCACUAUUAAUUAGACACAAGAAACUGACAAUUAUUUUUAUUGUAUAUUUUCUCUAAAAUGACUAUUCGAAACACUGAAGUAUGCUUGACAAAUAUCUCAAUAUGUUGUGUAUAUAUAUGAAUAGGCCUAUAUUAUAGUUGUGUGUAUAUAUUUAGUGGAAAACAAGAUAAUAUUAUUUCCUAUGAUUUACCAGUUGCUACCUAAGCUAGUAGGUAGCUUAGAAAUCUGCUCCACUAUGUAUAAGCCUUUAAGUUGUAUAAAUGGGGAGAGACCAGUAAUAACAAACUCAGGACCAUCCACUAAUAAUCAGACUCAAGAAACAGACAACAAUUAAUCUUUAUUGUAUAAUUUUAUCUAAAAUGAAAAAUCAUUUUUACCACAAUUUAUUCAAUUAAGAAUUCAUUAAAUUAAGAAUUAGAUAUGUAUAUA